rnacentral:rRNA from 1 species
UAGUAUGGGGAUCUGCCCGAUAGAGGGGGAUAACUACUGGAAACGGUGGCUAAUACCGCAUAAUGUCUACAGACCAAAGCAGGGGCUCUUCGGACCUUGCACUAUCGGAUGAACCCAUAUGGGAUUAGCUAGUAGGUGGGGUAAAGGCUCACCUAGGCGACGAUCUCUAGCUGGUCUGAGAGGAUGAUCAGCCACACUGGGACUGAGACACGGCCCAG